rnacentral:rRNA from 1 species
UACGUAGGGGGCGAGCGUUGUCCGGAUUUAUUGGGCGUAAAGAGCGUGUAGGCGGCCAGGUAGGUCUGCUGUGAAAACUCGAGGCUCAACCUCGAGACGUCGGCGGAAACCAUCUGGCUAGAGUCCGGAAGAGGAGAGUGGAAUUCCUGGUGUAGCGGUGAAAUGCGCAGAUAUCAGGAAGAACACCCGUGGCGAAGGCGGCUCUCUGGGACGGUACUGACGCUGAGGCACGAAAGCGUGGGGAGCAAACAGG